rfam:Anoxybacillus sp. BCO1 LR68_contig000019, whole genome shotgun sequence.
AAGACCUUUAAAUUCAGUCCCGUGAGGCUGAGAAGGUGUCGGAUUUAGGUGACGUAUGCCUACAUGUACCCUCUCGCCAAGCGGUGAGAGGGUUUUUGUGA